CCAGACCCAAAAGCACUCCUU
rnacentral:misc_RNA from 1 species